rnacentral:rRNA from 1 species
UACGUAGGGUGCGAGCGUUGUCCGGAAUUAUUGGGCGUAAAGAGCUCGUAGGCGGUCUGUCGCGUCGGUCGUGAAAACUUGGGGCUUAACCCUGAGCUUGCGGUCGAUACGGGCAUGACUGGAGUUCGGCAGGGGAGACUGGAAUUCCUGGUGUAGCGGUGAAAUGCGCAGAUAUCAGGAGGAACACCGGUGGCGAAGGCGGGUCUCUGGGCCGAGACUGACGCUGAGGCGCGAAAGCGUGGGGAGCAAACAGG